GAUGAACGCUGGCGGUGUGCUUAACACAUGCAAGUCGAACGGCAACGCCCUACGUGCGUGGGGUGCCCGAGUGGGGAACGCGUGAGUAACACGUGAGUAACCUGCUCUUGACUUUGGGAUAACUUCAGGAAACUGGGGCUAAUAUCGGAUAGGAGCUCCUGCUGCAUGGAGGGGGUUGGAAAGUUUCGGCGGUUGGGGAUGGAUUCGCGGCUUUUCAGCUGGUGGGUGGGGUAGUGGCUUACCAAGGCUGUGACGGGUAGCCGGCCUGAGAGGGUGGCCGGCGACAAGGGGCCUGCGAUACGGCCCAGACUCCUACGGGGGACAGAAGUGGGGAGUAUUGCACAAUGGGCGGAAGCCUGAUGAGACAACGCCGCGGGCGGGAUGACGGCCUUUGGGUUAUAAACCGCUUUAGCCUGUGACGAAGCGUUAGUGACGGUAAUGGGUAAAGAAGCACCGGCUAACUACGUG
rnacentral:rRNA from 1 species